UACGUAGGGAGCAAGCGUUGUCCGGAAUCAUUGGGCGUAAAGCGCGCGUAGGUGGCCAUGUAAGUCCGCUGUGAAAGUCAAAGGCUCAACCUUUGAAAGCCGGUGGAUACUGCAUGGCUAGAGUACGGAAGAGGCGAGUGGAAUUCCUGGUGUAGCGGUGGAAUGCGCAGAUAUCAGGAGGAACACCAAUAGCGAAGGCAGCUCGCUGGGACGUUACUGACACUGAGGCGCGGAAGCGUGGGGAGCGAACAGG
rnacentral:rRNA from 1 species